UACCAUUCCAAUACCCCUGGAGAGACAUAAAUGCUGGAGGGAGAUAGUGCAGAAGGAAUUUUCUUCCCUCAAUUAGCAGAAGGCUCUGACAAAGUACUUUUCCCUAGAGAAUAGGCCUUUUUGUGGAAAAGGCUCUGAGUGCAUUUCAUAGUUAUUACUCUUCUCCUUUUCCUUCCAGAGCCAAGAGAGGAUCUUCUCAGGUGUUCACAAUUUUCACGAAAGUGGGCUUCCUGGAGAAAAAGAAAGAAGAAAAAAAUGAUCACCCAACAGGAACGAUUGAGGAGGAACAAGGCAUGCAACCCCUCUACCCCCAACACUAUCUUUUUCAGAAACUGUAUAAAAGAUGACAGAACUCACAGAUAAGGCUUCUUUCAAGCAAGAAGAGAAAAGAACUUUUAUCUAAGGAAUGCAACUUCUUUUAAUUAUCAGGCCCAGAGAGACACUCCUCCUUCCUGCCUGACUUGAUCUGUGUAUUCGUCUCUUAAAACUGCUUGUUGUUGCUACAUGUAGCUAUAAAUUAACUUAAUAAUGCCACACCGGACACUAUAAACCACGCUGGAUAACCUAACAAUGUAUAGCUAACCACUAAUCAACGUUAUUUCUGUAAGCCAAUGAGAAUUCCUGACAAACAACUUUGUAUCAGCUCAUUCCCCAUCCCCUUUUUUCCCUUUAAAAAUCGACUUGUAGUUGCUGGUAAUCUGGAUGUAUAUUCAGAGACUUAAAUCUAUGCUCCCAGGUUGCUAUUUUCAAGCUUCGGCUAAAUAAGCUCUUUACUUGUAUUCAUUUUGCCUCAGCUUCUUCUAAUUAGGGAGACAUGAGGUAGGAAAAG
rnacentral:lncRNA from 1 species